rnacentral:rRNA from 1 species
ACGGAGGCAGCAGUGGGGAAUAUUGCACAAUGGGGGAAACCCUGAUGCAGCGACGCCGCGUGAGUGAAGAAGUUAUUCGUAAUGUAAAGCUCUAUCAGCAGGGAAGAAAAUGACGGUACCUGACUAAGAAGCCCCGGCUAACUACGUGCCAGCAGCCGCGGUAAUACGUAGGGGGCAAGCGUUAUCCGGAUUUACUGGGUGUAAAGGGAGCGCAGACGGCUUUGCAAGUCUGAUGUGAAAGGCAGGGGCUCAACUCCUGGACUGCAUUGGAAACUGUAGGGCUAGAGUGUCGGAGAGGUAAGCGGAAUUCCUAGUGUAGCGGUGAAAUGCGUAGAUAUUAGGAGGAACACCAGUGGCGAAGGCGGCUUACUGGACGAUAACUGACGUUGAGGCUCGAAAGCGUGGGGAGCAAACAGGAUUAGAUACCCUGGUA